rnacentral:sRNA from 2 species
AGCAUCUGCUAUUCAUGUCCUGGCAUUGAAAGAGUUUGUAGCUUUCUCCAAAGCCAUUCGCAGGUACGAAGUAAAUGGCAGACUCUUUCCCGAACGUGGAAACUAAGUGGAACAAACAUUGUGUUUUACUGUCGUCUCUCACAUCGGCCUCUCUUCCCCCUUAUCUUUGACCUCGAUGAAACUUAGCUUCCAAGCAUUGCUUCAAGCUUUCAAGUCCCACUGGCGAGGCUCCGCUCCUCCUGGAGUACAAAUAGGGCACCUGAUCCCUAUUUGCGGUGGCAUUCUCCUUUUCAAAUAACUGUUAUGAUCAAGAGUUACUCAUCUAUCUUUUGAUUAGAUGAUCAGCACUUUGGGAGUUAAUUGCUGUUAACUGGACACAAGCUGCUGAGAAAGUCAUG